rnacentral:tRNA from 1 species
GCGCCCUUGGCCGAGUGGUCAGGCUCCAGCCUUCCAAGCUGGCUACGUCGGUUCGAUUCCGACAGUGCGCUCCA